rnacentral:rRNA from 1 species
CCCUCGAUCGAAUCCCCACCUCCCCUCCUUUCACCGUCGGCCACCCCACCCUCGACCCGCCGGCCGCCCCACCCUCCCCGCCUUUUCCAGCACCUGCUAGCCUCCCCUCCCCUCCACCAAGCUCGUCCACUGGAUCCAGUAGCCCCCGCACCCCUCCCUCCGGCGCCGCGGAGACACCUCCCCCCAACUCCGGUUGGAUCCGCCAACUUCCCUGACUGCGCUGCAUCGCUGGAUCCGAUGCCGUCCUGGGCAGCAGCCACUUCUCCCUCCUCUCCUUCUUCAUCCCCCGAGAUGGGACACACCAACGGAUGAGGUUGCGGCUGUCGGAUGCACGCCGGCCUUCCUUCCGACGACCUGCUCCGGCAAAAAGCCAACUACGCCGGCCUCCUCACCUCCGGGCGACUCUCAUCAAGCGACAUCUUGCCCCAUCCUCUCCCAUGUGGGCCAGCCGUCGGAUCCGCGUCACCGUCCUCCCUUCUUCCCGUGCCUCUACGUCGUCGUCCCCGCCGGAUCCGCGUCGCCGUCCCUGUCGGCCCCCACGUCAGCUAGCCGCCGGAUCCGCCUCGCCGUCCUCCACCAACCACCAUCCACCGAAUCCGGCGAGCUCGGGGAGGUUACCGGCGACUCUCGCCUCCCCAUUCCUCCACCACCUCCCGAUGCAGUGCUGCGCCUUGGUCCCGACGCAGGCUUGCAGUUCACCAGUUUCCGCUAGGACGACCACGACGACUCUUGAUGCAGUCCUCAACCCUCACUGGUGGUCGCCGCCGCACGUGAGCCCACGCCACUACUGCCCCCUGACGCAGCACGACUUUCUUUGCUGCGGGUUGUAUGAAUUACAGUGCGGCUCAGAUCGUACCAUGCUGUUUGGAGCAUGUGAGCAUGCAGUGCAAAAUGUUGCAUUUUGUUUUUGAGUUUAUGUAUAAAAAAAUUAAAGGGACUUUAUUUGAAUGUGCUUAGAAAUUGCAGUUUGGAGUAUCUGCACAUGCAGUGUAGACGCUACUUUUGUGUUUGUGGAUUUUUUUUAUAAAGAUUAUAGGGACUCAUUUGAUUGCAGCGAAACAUGGUGAUGUUCAGACAUGAGCAUGCAGUUUCGACCAUGUGGACAUGCAGUGCAAAAAUGGUGUUUUCCGUGUUUG